GUACGCUAUUCAGAGUUUGAUCCUGGCUCAGGAUUAACGCUGGCGGCGUGCAUAACACAUUCAAGUCGAGCGGAUGACGGGAGCUUGCUCCUUGAUUCAGCGGCGGACGGGUGAGUAAUGCCUAGGAAUCUGCCUGGUAGUGGGGGACAACGUUUCGAAAGGAACGCUAAUACCGCAUACGUCCUACGGGAGAAAGCAGGGGACCUUCGGGCCUUGCGCUAUCAGAUGAGCCUAGGUCGGAUUAGCUAGUUGGUGGGGUAAUGGCUCACCAAGGCGACGAUCCGUAACUGGUCUGAGAGGAUGAUCAGUCACACUGGAACUGAGACACGGUCCAG
rnacentral:rRNA from 1 species